GUGGGGAAUCUUCCGCAAUGGACGAAAGUCUGACGGAGCAACGCCGCGUGAGUGAUGACGGCCUUCGGGUUGUAAAGCUCUGUGAUCGGGGACGAAUGGCUGGUAUGCUAAUACCAUAUCAGAGUGACGGUACCCGAAUAGCAAGCCACGGCUAACUACGUGCCAGCAGCCGCGGUAAUACGUAGGUGGCAAGCGUUGUCCGGAAUUAUUGGGCGUAAAGCGCGCGCAGGCGGCUUCUUAAGUCCAUCUUAAAAGUGCGGGGCUUAACCCCGUGAUGGGAUGGAAACUGGGAGGCUGGAGUAUCGGAGAGGAAAGUGGAAUUCCUAGUGUAGCGGUGAAAUGCGUAGAGAUUAGGAAGAACACCGGUGGCGAAGGCGACUUUCUGGACGACAACUGACGCUGAGGCGCGAAAGCGUGGGGAGCAAACAGGAUUAGAUACCCCAGUAGUCC
rnacentral:rRNA from 1 species